rnacentral:rRNA from 1 species
CUGGUUGCCUGUGAACGAAUAUAAGUUCCCCCUUAAUUUAACCUCCAGAGACCCACUUACUCCACCGUAGAAAAUUAAGAGUAAUUUAAAGGAGGUACAGCUCCUUUAAAGCAGAACACAAUCUACCCCAGAGGAUAAGCACUUCUACCAACACUUGUAGGCCCUCAAGCAGCCACCAACAAAGAAUGCGUCAAAGCUCUAGUCCAAAAAAAUCCAAAAACACACACGACUCCCUCACCCAUAACAGGCUAACCUAUUAAAAUAGGAGAAUUAAUGCUAGAAUAAGUAACUAAGGAACCUCCUUCUAAAGCACAAACUUACAUGCCACAUUAUUAACAGACUAAAUUAUACCAAAACUUCUACAAGACCAAGUAUCUGACAAUACUGUUAAACCAACUCAGGAGUGCUAAAAUAGAAAGAUUCAAACCUGUAAAAGGAACUAGGCAAACUCAAGGCCCGACUGUUUACCAAAAACAUAGCCUUCAGCGAACCGAGUAUUGAAGGUGAUGCCUGCCCAGUGACAAAAGUUCAACGGCCGCGGUAUCCUAACCGUGCAAAGGUAGCGCAAUCAAUUGUCCCAUAAAUCGAGACUUGUAUGAAUGGCCAAACGAGGUCUUAACUGUCUCUUACAGGUAAUCAGUGAAAUUGAUCUCCCCGUGCAAAGGCGGGGAUAAACCCAUAAGACGAGAAGACCCUGUGGAACUUAAAAACCAGCAGCCAACCCUAAGCCCAAUAAAAGCCUACUCAGGCUUACUGGUAAAACAUACUGGACUGCAUUUUUCGGUUGGGGCGACCUUGGAGAAUAAUAUAUCCUCCAAAAAUAAGACCACCCUUCUUU